rnacentral:rRNA from 1 species
AAUAUUGGACAAUGGGCGGAAGCCUGAUCCAGUCACGCCGCGAGUGUGAAGAGUGUCCUCGGCUUGUAAAGCACUUUAAUUGGGGGGGAAGGGCAGUUAACGAAUACUUAACUGUUUUGACGUCACCAAAAGAAUAAGCACCGGCACACUGCGUGCCAUCAGCCGCGGUAAUACGAAGGGGGCAAGCUUUAAGCGGAAUGACUGGGCGAAAAGCGCGCGUAGGUGGUUCGUUAAGUUGGAGAUGAAAGACCCGGGCUCAACCUGGGAAUUGCUUUCAAAACUGGCGAGAUAGAGUACGGUAGAGGGUGGUGGAAUUUCCUGUGUAUCGGUGAAAUGCGUAGAUAUAGGAAGGAACAUCAGUGGCGAGGGCGACCACCUGGACUGAUACAGACACUGAGGCGCGAGAGCGUGGGGAGCAAACAGG